rnacentral:rRNA from 1 species
UAAUCGCAGAUCAGAAUGCUGCGGUGAAUGCGUUCCCGGGUCUUGUACACACCGCCCGUCACACCACGGGAGUUGGAGACGCCCGAAGCCGACUAUCUAACCUUUUGGAAGAAGUCGUCGAAGGUGGAAUCAAUAACUGGGGUGAAGUCGUAACAAGGUAGCCGUAUCGGAAGGUGCGGCUGGAUCACCUCCUUUCUAAGGAGA